AUUACAAUUUUCUCUGUUUAGUUUGUUAUUUUAUUGAUUAACGAUGGGUGCUAAAUGCCAAAGCAAAUGUAGCGCAAAUGUCUUCUCGUAUUUGUAGUGCAACACGGACCAGGAUCAUACUGAGAAAAGCCCAAGGAGGGCAAAUGUAGCAGGCUGGAUUUUUUUGCUUGCAUGAAACAGGCCUGGAAAAGCGGGGCUGUUUGGGGCAGAUGGUGGGUUCAAGGGCCAUUGAAGUUUGACGUUUUUAAAACCGCUCAUUUUAUUUUAUGGCCCGGGAUACCUUGUUUUUGGGUUGUGCGUAUCCAUGUACAUGAGGACUUGGCUGUGCAACAACCCCUAGACUGACCUGUAUUUGCAUGCAUUUUUGCAUCAAACAAUUUGCAUCAUGUCUUUUGUUUUUUUAUGUUUCUCAAUAAGUUUCUCGCAAGCCCAUUCGGGCUGGACAUCAGUUAUGGUGAAACUAAGAAUCGAUAAUUAAAUCUUCAGCAAAUCAUCUAUUUUGGAGUUGAAAAACAUUA